UUUAAUUCUUUUCCGAUAAUCACUGAGUAUCCUCCUUAUGGGGACCAUAGACCCAAGCUAACAUGGCACCGACACUAGUGGGUGACGAUCCUGCUCUGCAACUUGAAGCGACUACUAAACUGAAAAGUAUAUAAUAAUAUGGUAUGUAUAAUGUAGAGAUAUAAUAAGACAAUUUUGAAAGAUGAGAAGACACUUGACUUAACAAUAUAACAUUGUUAUAUAGGUCAAUUACGCGUGCAGUAUAUCUAUUAUUUAGAGAAGAACUCUCUUUUAUUUACUUAUGGUGUGUUUGAUUUGGAAGAGAAGUUGUGAAGAUGGAAGUAGAUAAAGGAUUGUGUGAGAAGCGAGAAAGAGGCGAAAAAUAAAGUAUAUUCGAUGUAGUGUUUUUGUUAUAGAAUAAAAAGAAGAGAAAUUGAGAUUGGCAUGGGAAUGUAGGAAUUGAGUUUGGUUUGGCUGGGUGAACCAGUAAACCCACUCAGUUGGAUUUGUGGGAACUGAAUUUUGGUUUGCGGAGUGAAAUUAAUUUUGAGGGACUAGAAUGUUUGUUUUUAGAGUGGUGAAAGGAUUUAAGAGGAAGAUGGUUUGGUUUAAGAAAAAGAUAAGAUGAACAUGAUGAAUUUUAUUGGGUUUGUCGAAGAUGGAUAGAAGAU